UACGAAGGGUGCAAACGUUGCUCGGAGUUAUUGGGCGUAAAGCGCACGUAGGCGGCAUUGCAAGUCGGAUGUGAAAUCCCUCGGCUUAACCAAGGAAGUGCAUCCGAAACUGCAGUGCUUGAGUACUUAGGAGGAUCGCGGAAUUCCCGGUGUAGAGGUGAAAUUCGUAGAUAUCGGGAGGAACACCAGUGGCGAAGGCGGCGAUCUGGGAAGAUACUGACGCUGAGGUGCGAAAGCGUGGGGAGCAAACAGG
rnacentral:rRNA from 1 species